rnacentral:rRNA from 1 species
AUUGAACGCUGGCGGCAUGCUUUACACAUGCAAGUCGAACGGUAACAGGCCUUCGGGUGCUGACGAGUGGCGAACGGGUGAGUAAUGCAUCGGAACGUACCCAGAGGUGGGGGAUAACGCAGCGAAAGCUGUGCUAAUACCGCAUGUGAUCUGAGGAUGAAAGCGGGGGACCGAGCAGCAAUGUUUGGCCUCGCGCCUUUGGAGCGGCCGAUGUCGGAUUAGCUAGUUGGUGGGGUAAAGGCUUACCAAGGCGACGAUCCGUAGCUGGUCUGAGAGGACGACCAGCCACACUGGGACUGAGACACGGCCCAGACCCCUACGGGAGGCAGCAGUGGGGAAUUUUGGACAAUGGGCGCAAGCCUGAUCCAGCAAUGCCGCGUGCGGGAAGAAGGCCUUCGGGUUGUAAACCGCUUUUGGCAGGAACGAAACGGUGUCCGCUAAUACCGGGCGCUAAUGACGGUACCUGCAGAAUAAGCACCGGCUAACUACGUG